rnacentral:rRNA from 1 species
CGGUAAUUCCAGCUCCAAUAGCGUAUAUUAAAAUUGUUGCAGUUAAAACGCUCGUAGUUGAAUAUCUGGUGUGAAAGGCCGGUCCGCUUCGGUGUGCACCGCGUUCUUAUCACGGCAUCCGUUUGCAAAGUUCUUUUGCAAACCGUUCACUUUGAGGAAAUUAGAGUGUUCAAAGCAGGCAAUAGCCUUGAAUACUUCAGCAUGGAAUGAUUGUUAGGACAUCCGUCCUAUCAGUUGGUUCUAGGGGCGAAUGUAAUGAUUAAUAGGGUCGGUCGGGGGCAUUCGUAUUGAACAGCUAGAGGUGAAAUUCUUAGAUUUGUUCAAGACGACCUACUGCGAAAGCAUUUGCCAAGGACGUACCCAUUAAUCAAGAACGAAAGUUAGGGGAUCGAAGACGAUCAGAUACCGUCGUAGUCUUAACUAUAAACUAUGCCGACUUGAGAUUGGAGGUUGUCCUAUGGACUCCUUCAGCAUCUUCAGAGAAAUCCAAGUCUUUGGGUUCUGGGGGGAGUAUGGUCGCAAGGCUGAAACUUAAAGGAAUUGACGGAAGGGCACCACCAGGAGUGGAGCCUGCGGCUUAAUUUGACUCAACACGGGGAAACUCACCAGGUCCAGACAUGGGCAGGAUUGACAGAUUGAUAGCUCUUUCUUGAUUCUAUGGGUGGUGGUGCAUGGCCGUUCCUAGUUCGUGGACUGAUUUGUCUGGUUGAUUCCGAUAACGAGCGAGAUCUUAACCUGCUAACUAGGGCUCUCAAAUUCGUUUGAGUUGACUCUUCUUAGAGGGACUUUGUGUGUUCUAACACAAGGAGGUUUGAGGCAAUAACAGGUCUGUGAUGCCCUUAGAUGUUCUGGGCUGCACGCGCGCUACACUGACAUACGCAACGAGUUUCCUGCACCGACAGGUGUGGGUAAUCAUCUGAGUGUAUGUCGUGAUGGGGAUAGAGUAUUGUAAUUAUUGCUCUUGAACGAGGAAUUCCUAGUAAGCGCAAGUCANGACUUGCGCUGAUUACGUCCCUGCCCUUUGUACACACCGCCCGUCGCUCCUACCGAUGGGGUGAUCCGGUGAAUGAUUCGGACUUUGGCGUUUCUAGCAACUAGUUAAUGCUGGGGGAAGUUUUGUGAACCUUAUCACUUGGAGGAAGGAGAAGUCGUAACAAGG